rnacentral:rRNA from 1 species
GACCAAGGGUUCCUGUCCAACGUUAAUCGGGGCAGGGUGAGUCGACCCCUAAGGCGAGGCCGAAAGGCGUAGUCGAUGGGAAACAGGUUAAUAUUCCUGUACUUGGUGUUACUGCGAAGGGGGGACGGAGAAGGCUAUGUUGGCCGGGCGACGGUUGUCCCGGUUUAAGCGUGUAGGCUGGUUUUCCAGGCAAAUCCGGAAAAUCAAGGCUGAGGCGUGAUGACGAGGCACUACGGUGCUGAAGCAACAAAUGCCCUGCUUCCAGGAAAAGCCUCUAAGCAUCAGGUAACAUCAAAUCGUACCCCAAACCGACACAGGUGGUCAGGUAGAGAAUACCAAGGCGCUUGAG